UUGGAUUUAAGACAACGAAAACAGUGGGUGGGGAUUUCUUGUGGCAUUUUGACAUAAUCUUUCAUUCAAAUCCAUCACAAACAUAGAAUUUAUUUUAAAUAAAUUUUAAUUAUGUUUCUUAAAAUUAAUUUUACAAAAAUUACACUUCAUUCGAUUCUUUAAUUUCUCGGGAAACAAACAUAAAAUAAUAAUUUUAAAAGACUCACUGUAGCCAUUGUCAACGAGGUAAUUGAAG
rnacentral:misc_RNA from 1 species